rnacentral:rRNA from 1 species
ACUCGAGUGGCGAACGGGUGAGUAACACGUGGGUGAUCUGCCCUGCACUUCGGGAUAAGCCUGGGAAACUGGGUCUAAUACCGGAUAGGAGCCAUUUUUAGUGUGAUGGUUGGUAAGUUUUUCGGUGUAGGAUGAGCUCGCGGCCUAUCAGCUUGUUGGUGGGGUAAUGGCCUACCAAGGCGGCGACGGGUAGCCGGCCUGAGAGGGUGGACGGCCACAUUGGGACUGAGAUACGGCCCAG